rnacentral:rRNA from 1 species
UACGUAGGGCGCAAGCGUUGUCCGGAAUUAUUGGGCGUAAAGAGCUCGUAGGCGGUUUGUCGCGUCUGCUGUGAAAACCUAAGGCUCAACCUUGGGCUUGCAGUGGGUACGGGCAGACUAGAGUGCGGUAGGGGUGACUGGAAUUCCUGGUGUAGCGGUGGAAUGCGCAGAUAUCAGGAGGAACACCGAUGGGCGAAAGGC